AUUGAACGCUGGCGGCAGGCUUAACACAUGCAAGUCGAACGGUAACAGAAGAGCUUGCUCUUGCUGACGAGUGGCGGACGGGUGAGUAAUGUAUGGGGAUCUGCCAAAUGGAAGGGGACAACAGUUGGAAACGACUGCUAAUACCGUAUAAAGUCGCAAGACCAAAGGAUGGGACCUUCGGGCCAUUCGCCAUUUGAUGAACCCAUAUGGGAUUAGCUAGUAGGUGAGGUAAUGGCUCACCUAGGCGACGAUCUCUAGCUGGUCUGAGAGGAUGGCCAGCCACACUGGGACUGAGACACGGCCCAGACUCCUACGGGAGGCAGCAGUGGGGAAUAUUGCACAAGUGGGGGAACCCUGAUGCAGCCAUGCCGCGUGUAUGAAGAAGGCCUUGGUU
rnacentral:rRNA from 1 species